rnacentral:rRNA from 1 species
UGGAUUAAGAGCUUGCUCUUAUGAAGUUAGCGGCGGACGGGUGAGUAACACGUGGGUAACCUACCCAUAAGACUGGGAUAACUCCGGGAAACCGGGGCUAAUACCGGAUAAUAUUUUGAACUGCAUAGUUCGAAAUUGAAAGGCGGCUUCGGCUGUCACUUAUGGAUGGACCCGCGUCGCAUUAGCUAGUUGGUGAGGUAACGGCUCACCAAGGCGACGAUGCGUAGCCGACCUGAGAGGGUGAUCGGCCACACUGGGACUGAGACACGGCCCAGACUCCUACGGGAGGCAGCAGUAGGGAAUCUUCCGCAAUGGACGAAAGUCUGACGGAGCAACGCCGCGUGAGUGAUGAAGGCUUUCGGGUCGUAAAACUCUGUUGUUAGGGAAGAACAAGUGCUAGUUGAAUAAGCUGGCACCUUGACGGUACCUAACCAGAAAGCCACGGCUAACUACGUGCCAGCAGCCGCGGUAAUACGUAGGUGGCAAGCGUUAUCCGGAAUUAUUGGGCGUAAAGCGCGCGCAGGUGGUUUCUUAAGUCUGAUGUGAAAGCCCACGGCUCAACCGUGGAGGGUCAUUGGAAACUGGGAGACUUGAGUGCAGAAGAGGAAAGUGGAAUUCCAUGUGUAGCGGUGAAAUGCGUAGAGAUAUGGAGGAACACCAGUGGCGAAGGCGACUUUCUGGUCUGUAACUGACACUGAGGCGCGAAAGCGU